rnacentral:rRNA from 1 species
GCGCGAAACCUUCGCAAUGCGCGAAAGCGUGACGAGGUUAAUCCGAGUGGUCCCCGCUGAGGGGAUCUUUUGUCGGCUGUAAAAAGGCCGGUGAAUAAGGGGAGGGCAAGUCUGGUGUCAGCCGCCGCGGUAAUACCAGCUCCUCGAGUGGUCGGGGCGAUUAUUGGGCCUAAAGCAUCCGUAGCCUGUUCUGUAGGUCCUCUGUUAAAUCCAACGGCUUAACCGUUGGCCCGCAGAGGAUACCGCAGGACUAGGAGGCGGGAGAGGUGGACGGUACUCCACGUGUAGGGGUAAAAUCCUUUGAUCCGUGGAAGACCACCAGUGGCGAAGGCGGUCCACCAGAACGCGCUCGACGGUGAGGGAUGAAAGCUGGGGGAGCGAACCGGAUUAGAUACCCGUGUAGUCC